rnacentral:rRNA from 1 species
UCAGUUCGGAUUGGAGUCUGCAACCCGACUCCAUGAAGCUGGAUUCGCUAGUAAUCGCGCAUCAGCCACGGCGCGGUGAAUACGUUCCCGGGCCUUGUACACACCGCCCGUCAAGCCAUGGGAGCCGGGGGUACCUGUAAGUGCGUGACCGCAAGGAGCGCCCUAAGGUAAAACCGGUGACUGGGGCUAAGUCGUAACAAGGUAGC